rnacentral:rRNA from 1 species
CUGACCUCGGAUCAGACGAGAAUACCCGCUGAACUUAAGCAUAUCACUAAGCGGAGGAAAAGAAACUAACCAGGAUUCCCCUAGUAACUGCGAGUGAAGGGGGAUUAGCCCAGCACCGAAGCCUGCGGCCGUUUGGCUGCUAGGCAAUGUGGUGUUCAGGUUGUCUCUUGGCAUUACUGCUCCAUCCUAAGUCCAGUACUGAGUAUGGCAUCUGGAG